GAUGAACGCUGGCGGUAUGCUUAACACAUGCAAGUCGAACGGAAUCUUCGGAUUUAGUGGCGGACGGGUGAGUAACGCGUGAGAAUCUGGCUCUAGGUCGGGGACAACAGUUGGAAACGACUGCUAAUACCGGAUGUGCCGAGAGGUAAAAGGCUUGCUGCCUAGAGAUGAGCUCGCGUCUGAUUAGCUAGUUGGUGUGGUAAGAGCGCACCAAGGCGACGAUCAGUAGCUGGUCUGAGAGGAUGAUCAGCCACACUGGGACUGAGACACGGCCCAGACUCCUACGGGAGGCAGCAGUGGGGAAUUUUCCGCAAUGGGCGAAAGCCUGACGGAGCAAUACCGCGUGAGGGAGGAAGGCUCUUGGGUUGUAAACCUCUUUUCUCAAGGAAUAACACAAUGAAGGUACUUGAGGAAUAAGCAUCGGCUAACUCCGUGCCAGCCGCCGCUGUAAAAC
rnacentral:rRNA from 1 species